AGGGGGAAGAGGGGAAGAUAAUUCAUAUGGAGCAUCACACCAGCUAUCUCCUGCUCCCUGUCCUGCACUGCAAAGGAGGCCUUUUCAUCCUCUCUACUGCCUCCAAUUUUUCUCACGAGGAAUGUGAGAGGAAAACCUAGAAUGGGCAGAUGAAUCUCUGAACAAGACAGCUCAUGACACGGUUUAUUGGAGCCUUCCUCAAAACCCAUCCAAGAGAGCUUGUUCCUGAAGCAUGGUGCUAAGUCCAUAUGCAGCAGAUGGAGCUCAUGAGAAAAGAGUUGCUCUUGUGAAGACCAAAGCUUGUUUGUCAGUUUCAAAUACUCAUGUAUCUGAUUGUCAAUGCUGGAGAGCUGGGGCCAGGGCAGUAGUUGAUGAAUAUCACCUGACUGUCUCCUGCAGAAAAAGCAUUCCCAGAAGCACGGAGAAGUGAGGAGAAAAGGCAAUGCACCUGGAGCUGGAGACCAAGGCCCUGUUCUUACUGAUGGCCCUUGGAGCAGAUAUUUGAAUUGGAGAGAUAAAACCGUGGUUUUUGGGGUGUUAAUUUUGGUGGCUGAUGCAUUCUGUGAUUGAUUUGGCUAUUACAACUGGUAUUGAUUUUAAACACAUUAAUUGCAAAAUCUCAAUUGUGAUUUGAUUUCUGUAUUUACAAUACUAAAAACGAGGCUUUCGCCAGGAGAAGACAAUUGGCAGUACUCAGUUGGAAGUGCUUAAUUGUUAAUAUAUAUCAGCCGUGGUUCUUCAGCGUCGUCAGUGUUGCUCAGUCUUGCUCUUUGUGGCGACUACUGAAUGCUUGAAAAAUUCUCUCCUAUACUCCCACUCUGCACUGUAGAAGAGAAAGAGAGGAGAGUGGAAGAAAAAAGAGAGGGAGAGGAGAAAGAAAGAGAGGAGAGAGAAACAUGGGCAUGGAUGAUACAUAAGGUAGUUGUAAACUGUGAUCAGCUUUGAUAAUAACUAGAUAAAUUCUUUUAAUACAAAAAUAUAUAAGGCAUUUUGCCUUUUUUUCAAAUUUCAAAUAAAUGGAUUUGUAUAGAAUGUA
rnacentral:lncRNA from 1 species